rnacentral:tRNA from 1 species
GGAAGUCAUCCGGCCGGAUGAGGAACCUGUUUUGAACACAGGCCGCGGCACUGCCGUUGUGGGUUCGAGUCCCACGACUUCCG